UGUUGCGGUGGCCAUUUUCCCUGAGUUUUCUCUACUGCGCAUGCAGUUUUAAUACCGCAGUGGACGUUGCCGCGGGACUCUGGAGGGACAUCAUGGUAGAAAGGGAGUGAAAUUGAACCGAUUCCCGGCUGCACCGCUUCCCCCCCUUAUAUGGAAUCCAAAACAAGCAAGAUCCGACGCUGGACGAAAACAAUAUUGUGAGACCCCGAACAUAUACUUCUGAGGAAGCCACUGAUUAAACUAUGCAGAAAAACACAUAAGGGAGAGACACAGCAAGCCGAUGUUGAUGCCUAUAUGCUCUGGCCAGGACAGUCCCUAAGGUGCAUGACUAAUGGAGCAGCGGGGAAUACCCAAUUUGGACAGCUGGGAUCAGCAUGUCGAGUGAUGGCUGAGAAGAAAGCUACUGAAAACAGAGCUCAUAGAG